rnacentral:rRNA from 1 species
CAGCCGCCACGGUAAUACAGAGGGUGCGAGCGUUAAUCGGAUUUACUGGGCGUAAAGCGUGCGUAGGCGGCUUCUUAAGUCGGAUGUGAAAUCCCUGAGCUUAACUUAGGAAUUGCAUUCGAUACUGGGAAGCUAGAGUAUGGGAGAGGAUGGUAGAAUUCCAGGUGUAGCGGUGAAAUGCGUAGAGAUCUGGAGGAAUACCGAUGGCGAAGGCAGCCAUCUGGCCUAAUACUGACGCUGAGGUACGAAAGCAUGUGGAGCAAACAGGAUUAGAUACCCGCGUAGUCCCUGUCUCUUAUAA